UGUGGAUGGAAUGCUUUCUUCCUUUACUGAAAUGUGAAUUUUGUUUUUCCUUAACUACAGACAGUGUAUCAGAAGAAUGGGAACUUAUUUUUCCGUACAACAAUCCAGAGAGCAUCGGCAUCUGAACAGAAACAACUAGAUUUGACUAAAGCAAGCCUUGAAAAGUUGAAUUCUUCUUGAUACGGCUUGGUCUACAUUGAUGCGUUGGCAGCUUUCUAAGGAUAAAGAACAGGUGCAUUUCUUAUUGCAUGGAAUUGUGCUGUUUGGGAGUCGAGGAGACAUUUUCCUUUUUAGUUAUGGUCAUAGAACAAAUUUCCUCUGCUUUUUGUAUUUGUCUUGGUGUUACGAUCGUUGGCCUUUAGCAUAUAGAUAUAUGGUUGAAGAGAAGUAGUCAUGGGAAUUUUCGGAGAAGAAUAUUUUACAACUCAAAUAUGAUUUUGAAGUAUAUUUUUGAGUUAUUUUCCCGUAA